AUGAGCAAGGGACUCAGCCCGCGUUACCACGAGCUUUCUACCUAUGAAAAAGAAUACCUGGCCAUUGUGGUGGCCGUGGACCAGUGGCGACCCUACCAGCAACACAAUGAGUUCGUUAUCUAUACGGAUCAGAAGAGUCUCAUCCACCUUGAAGAGCAACGGUUGACUACCCCAUGGCAACAGCGAGCUUUCACCAAACUGCUCGGGCUCUGA
rnacentral:rRNA from 1 species